rnacentral:pre_miRNA from 1 species
AGAGGGAUAGCUGGGUCAAAUGGUGGUUCUAUUCCCAAUUUUCUAAGAAACCUCCAUACUCCUUUUCAUAUUGGCUGCACCGAUUUGCAGUCCCACCAGUAGU